rnacentral:tRNA from 1 species
GCAUCGGUGGUUCAGUGGUAGAAUCCUCGCCUGCCACACAGGGGACGCGGGUUCAAUUCCCGGCCGAUGCA